rnacentral:lncRNA from 10 species
UAAUGCCACAGUAACGUUUAUGGUAUUAAUAACCUGAAUCUCUUAAAGGGAGGCAAAAAAACCCCUCAACAUAAUAGACUUGAAUUUAGGGUAAACUCUCUAUUAGUAUGAGUAGUAGCUCUUUGGGCAGCAUGGUGGAGUAGAGACACCCUUGGAAUUCAAUAAGUAUUCUGUAUUCUUUGUUUGAGAAUCCCACCUCUUUGUCCAAGUAAGCAGACAUGGAGAUUGACUAACACCACAACAAUGAACAAUCCAUUGUAGUUUAUGACUAUACAAGCCUCCAGAAUACAAUAAGCUUAGGCCCCAGGUACCCAAUUUUACACUUAAGAAGAAGUGAUUUAGGAUGUGAGGGCAAUCUGGCUGCGACAUCUGUCGCCCCACUGAUUACCAGGGUUGAUUCGGCUGAUCUGGCUGGCUAGGCGGGUGUCCUCUUCCUCCCUCAGCCCUCCAUGUGUGUACCUCCUGAAGCGGACUGGUCUUCAGUCAAGGGUAGACGAGUAGCUGUGCUCCCCUGCUAGAACCUCCAAACAAGCUCUCAAGAAGGAGUGAUUUAGACUCAUCAAUUUAUAAAAUACUUUGCUGUACAAGUUGGGUAAGCUGAGUGAGAUCAUCUAUGAUCUAUCAUUAAUCAUUGUUAACACCAGUUUUCAAGCUCUCUAGUCAAAUUACAUUUUGUUUUCAUGCUAGGAGUAAAUUAUUUCAGCAUUUUUCUAAUGUUAAACAAUUAUCUAUUUACAUGAGAUUUAAAAAAUAAUCAUUUGCAUCCUUUUGGUAAAUUAUAAGCUAAAUUAACUAUGUCAUACAUGUAGAAAGAGACAGUAUGGCAAGAUUCAUGAGCAAACAACAUAACUCCUUUGAGAAAAUGGAGAAUGGCAUAUUUAGAAUCAGUGUUUACCCAGCAAUACUGCUUGAAUUGUUAAGGAUAAUCUAUCGAUAUUGCGUGACACUUACAUGUUGUAACAAUUAUUAAAAUGAGACAAUUGUGUUAGGGAAAGUAAUGAAUGUAAAGUGGAAUAACUGCACUCUGCAGGAGUUAAAUGUAUUAAGAUUGUGCAAG